CCUACGGGUGGCAGCAGUGGGGAAUAUUGCACAAUGGGCGAAAGCCUGAUGCAGCAACGCCGCGUGAAGGAAGAAGGGUUUCGGCUCGUAAACUUCUAUCAGCAGGGAAGAAAAUGACGGUACCUGAAGAAGAAGCCCCGGCUAACUACGUGCCCGAAGCCGCGGUAAUACGUAGGGGGCAAGCGUGAUCCGGAUUUACUGGGUGUAAAGGGGGCGUAGACGGCGAUGCAAGCCAGGAGUGAAAGCCCGGGGCCCAACCCCGGGACUGCUCUUGGAACUGCGUGGCUGGAGUGCAGGAGGGGUAGGUGGAAUUCCUGGUGUAGCGGUGAAAUGCGGAGAUAUUAGGAGGAACACCGGUGGCGAAGGCGGCCUGCUGGACUGCAACUGACGUUGAGGCCCGAAAGCGUGGGGAGCAAACAGGAUUAGAUACCCUGGUAGUC
rnacentral:rRNA from 1 species